CACGUAGGGGGCAAGCGUUGUCCGGAUUUAUUGGGCGUAAAGAGCUCGUAGGUGGUUCGGUAAGUCAGGUGUGAAACCUCCAGGCUCAACCUGGAGACGCCACUUGAUACUGCUGUGACUGGAGUCCGGUAGGGGAGCGUGGAAUUCCUGGUGUAGCGGUGAAAUGCGCAGAUAUCAGGAGGAACACCAAUGGCGAAGGCAGCUCGCUGGAACGGUACUGACGCUGAGGCGCGAAAGCGUGGGGAGCAAACAGG
rnacentral:rRNA from 1 species